GUGCUCACUUCGUAAGCACAUAUACUAAAAUUGGAUUGAUACGGAGAAAAAUUAGCAUGACCCCUGUGCCAGGUUGACAUGCAUUUUUGUGAAGUGUUCCAUAUCUUU
rnacentral:snRNA from 1 species